rnacentral:lncRNA from 1 species
UCGGUUAUACCCUGUGGGGAUUGAAUGAUACCUCAGUGUGUCAGACUCCUACUAUGGGAAGUGCCUUUAUCCACUGAACCAUCCUGUUAGCCUAGUUUAUUACCUAUUUUUAUGAACAAAUAACAUACUACGAGUUUAAAACAAAAAAAAAAAACCAAACCAAAACAAAAAAGAAUGUACUUUAUUUCUUUACUAUCCACUACAUUUAGCCAAGAAGAGUGGCUUUCAUUUAUACAUACGUGCAAGCUAGAUGGGUGUCUGCAAAGAAGAACGCGCUUGUUUCAGUUCAUAGACGCUUGGCUCUGUUCUGUGACUUAAUGCCUCUGGUGGGCAGAGGUGACCUUCCCAUCCACCCUCCUCUCUGACCUCUAGAUCUAAACAGCUAAACUUUGCUUUCCAAUGCUGGUCACCAUCCAAAGUGCCCUCUCCACUGGCCUCCUUGGUGAUCUCAGUAUCUAAACAACAAGGGAAAGUUCCAAGCGGUGGUCCAGCGCAUGGAUUCUCAUAAUUCCUCCACAGUGAUUUGCCUUCGUCAAUGCUUUCUUUUUAUUCUAUAUAUAGAGAAAGUUUUCCUAUAACAUAUGAGGUUCAGUGGCUGGGGCCUUAUAAAUUAGAGUCACAAAAAAAAAUAGAAUGGCAUGAGGAACACAAACUAAAAAAGAAUGCUCUCUCUCUCUCUCUCUCUCUCUGUGUAUUUGUGUGUGUGUAUGUGUGUUUGUGUGCAUGUGUAGAAAUAAUAAAUUAGAGACAUGUGACCCCAUGGAAUGGUUACAGUUGUAUACACAUAGCAUUUUAAUAGAAGACAAUAAAGCAACAGAAAUGG